AUGUGACGAGUUUGAUCAUGGCUCAGACACGCUGGCGGCAUGCCUAACACAUGCAAGUCGAACGAGACUUCGGUCUAGUGGCGGACGGGUGAGUAACGCGUAGGAACCUGCCAAGCAGUGGGGAAUAACAGCUGGAAACGGCUGCUAAUACCGCAUACGCCCUUCGGGGGGAAAGAUUUUAUCGCUGUUUGAGGGUCCUGCGUUCGAUUAGCUAGUUGGUGAGGUAACGGCCCACCAAGGCGACGAUCGAUAGCUGGUCUGAGAGGAUGAUCAGCCACACUGGGACUGAGACACGGCCCAGACUCCUACGGGAGGCAGCAGUGGGGAAUAUUGGACAAUGGGGGAAACCCUGAUCCAGCAAUGCCGCGUGCGUGAAGAAGGCCUUAGGGUUGUAAAGCGCUUUCACCUGUGAUGAUGAUGACAGUAGCAGGAGAAGAAGCCCCGGCUAACUCCGUG
rnacentral:rRNA from 1 species